ACUCCUGCGGGAGGCAGCAGUGGGGAAUUUUGGACAAUGGGCGAAAGCCUGAUCCAGCAAUGCCGCGUGUGUGAAGAAGGCCUUCGGGUUGUAAAGCACUUUUGUCCGGAAAGAAAUCCUUGGCUCUAAUACAGUCGGGGGAUGACGGUACCGGAAGAAUAAGCAACGGCUAACUACGUGCCAGCAGCCGCGGUAAUACGUAGGGUGCGAGCGUUAAUCGGAAUUACUGGGCGUAAAGCGUGCGCAGGCGGUUUGCUAAGACCGAUGUGAAAUCCCCGGGCUCAACCUGGGAACUGCAUUGGUGACUGGCAGGCUAGAGUAUGGCAGAGGGGGGUAGAAUUCCACGUGUAGCAGUGAAAUGCGUAGAGAUGUGGAGGAAGACCGAUGGCGAAGGCAGCCCCCUGGGCCAAUACUGACGCUCAUGCACGAAAGCGUGGGGAGCAAACAGGAUUAGAUACCCCUGUAGUCCCAUGA
rnacentral:rRNA from 1 species